GAUGAACGCUAGCGGCAGGCCUAAUACAUGCAAGUCGAACGGGAUUGAGAGCUUGCUUUUCAUGAGAGUGGCGCACGGGUGCGUAACACGUAUGUAACCUACCUUAAUCUGGGGGAUAGCCUCUCGAAAGAGAGAUUAACACCGCAUAACAUCACUUUACAGCAUUUUGGAGUGAUCAAAUUAUUUAUAGGAUUAAGAUGGGCAUGCGGAACAUUAGCUAGUUGGUAAGUAAUGGCUUACCAAGGCUACGAUGUUUAGGGGAUCUGAGAGGAUCGACCCCCCA
rnacentral:rRNA from 1 species